rnacentral:lncRNA from 1 species
GCAAUGCUCAUUUCCCUUUAGGCAAAACACAUGUCUUACCACAGCAGCCCACAGCCUAAGCAAAUAUAGACUUGUAAGCAGAUGGAUAAAGGCAUAUAACCAUGACGCUCUAACUAUAUGUUCUUCCUUCAACAUAGUAAGUUCUGUGCUUCACACUUGGGGAGAAUUUAACAUGCAUCCCUUUCUUUCCAGACUUCAUUCCUUGAUUUUUCUUUUAGACUAUGCAGUAACAAGAAUUGUACAACUUCAAAGAACAAAGCAGUCCAACUUUAUGAUGAAAAAAAAAAAACAAAAGAAUUGAUAUGUUGUCCAGUGGUAGUAAAAUGUUCCCUGUAUGACCUUGCUUUCUGGUACUAGCCAGAAAGCCCAAAAUAUUAUUUUAAAGAAAGGGUCCCUUUUCCAUGUCAGCCUUUCUUCAUACUGAUUGAUUUUGUUAUGGUAGAUCAACUAUAAAUGGUAGAUCAACUAUAACCAAAUGACCUAAAGAGAAAACUGGAGACUGUUCCAUCAUUUUUGUGGAUGCCUUCUCUAUGAAAUUAACCCCCACCAAUGAUUCCCACACUGAGUCAUUCUUCCUCCAUAUUUGCACAAUCUCCAACAACUGAGGAAUAGUUAGAAGGCAAUACCUUUUGGCAAGGGUCAAUAUUUCCUAAUAUAUUCCAGCACAUGUGUUACAUACCCAUAAUGUCUUCAUAUAGAUAAAAAUAAAUCCAGUUCAGUCAUGAAAUUCAGGCUACAAAGUAAGGUCCUGACAAGGAGGGGAAGUCAGAAGAAAGUGGGAAUCAAAGCUAGUUUUUAUUGGCAGGCAACAUCGAAGACCUCAGAAAGACUCUAGCAAAGGGUUGCACUUUGUAGAGAUCCUGAUCUUCUUCUGAGAGAUCUAAGAAAGCUGAGCACAGAGCUUUUCACAUUCAGGAUGCUCCACAGAGACCAGCCAUAUGAAGAUCAGACAAGAUAUGCAAAGGAAUCUUUGGAAUAUUGGCUGGCAGCACAUUCAGUUUCAGAAAUUAGAUACGUCAUGUAUUGUUCAAGAUAUAACUUUAAACUCAAUGCAAAUAGCAUUUAUAAUUGUGUUCUAGGACAAAGACUUAUGUCUCCAUUCUCUGGAAAGAUUAAAAUCUAUUCUGGAUACAAAAAAAAAACUAAAUGAAUAGAUUCCAUCAAACAUAAUGUGUUCUCAGAAACAGGUGGUGUAUGAAGUUGAAGAGCCAUGACUAGAGCAGGCCAUCAGGAAACCAAAUGAAGCAGUCAAUGAAAUCUCAAUUCUUCUUCCUGCAAAGCAAGAUGUGAUGGCCCCUAAGAAAGACUUAAAAUAUGAAAGAGCAAGGGAGUUUCCAUCCCUUUCAAUCCUAACCACCUGAUUCUGCUCCUUCUCUUUAUUAAUAAAGAUUGUGUGUAUGUAUGUGUGUGUGUGUGUGUGUGUGUGUUAUGUACUACAUACACGUGCAUAUACAUGGGCACAUGCACACACGCACACACAAACCAGGACAGAGAAACAAUGAAUUUACUGCCCUAUUACUAUGAUUAGCAUUUUCCAUGCAGCUGCCAAUUUUUCUGGAGAGCUUAUGGUAAAAUUUCAGCUAAAAAAAAAAAUACAGUCGCUACUUCUUCAAACAGCUGGUGGUUUCCUCCACUCAUUCCCAGGUGGCUACAGUUCCAAUUUGUGGCUAGUCUUGUCUUCAAACAUCUCGGGGCAGCCAACAUAUGACAGGAUGACAGAUCGUCCUCUCAAUGGAUACUGACAAACAAAUUAGUGCAAAGAUGCUUUUCGUGGCAGACCAGAUGUGUUGAGUUCUAUCAUACGGAACAAGCAAUGAGGAACUGUCCAUGCCCCAUCUGUGCCUUUUAUUUUUUAUUUAUCUCUCUGUGUCUGUCUCUUUUUCCCCAGACUUCUAAUGCACUAUCAUGACAAAGCACCAAAUUUACACAUGCAUUUAAUGAGCACAUUGAAAGGCUGGGCUCAUUGUCACCUCUAAAACUUUCCUAGGAUGGAAUCCAGCUAAUGACACCAUGAAGCAAUAGAACUCUUCAGUAGGAUAUGGAAGGAAUCUCUAAACACUCUGCUGAAACACAAAUCUUUACCACAAGUAGGCAAAGGCCAGGAGGAGGCCAGGAGGCAUUUUACAGUUCUUGCCAUCCAGAAAUGUGUCUCCACACAGAUGGGGUGGAAUAACUGGCAUAUGCUUUACUCUUGCCCAAGAUAGGUAUAUAUAAUGUCCAUUAGACUAAGAAGUAAUUAGGUAGAUGAUAAGCCCUAGAUUCCUACAACCUUAAAGGGACAUGAAAAAGAACCUCCUUGUAUCAUACAACGCCACUGAGAACUAGGAAUAAAUAAUAGAUAUCUCCUUUGAGGAUCUUAGAGUGCAGAGAACUCAAUGCGAAAGUGCCUACUGGUGCAAAGCAGCAGAUAAUGAGGCUGUCAAUGGGCUCAGCAAUGAGUGGUUUAGCGAGAGGAGGAUAGAGAGGUUUCCAUGGAGCCAUAGGAUCCUACAGAGAAUACUGCAGCCAAACAAGACUUAAGAAUGAAUAGGAAUCAGAUUAAUAGGGAAAAAUCGGGGCAACAGUUCCAAGAUAGUAGGAGACCAAUGUUCUAAUGACUGGUAUGAAUCUGGAAGCAUGUACAGAAACCUAAGACUAAUUUUAGGGAGAGCUGUUGAGGCAAUGGGAGGGGAUUCAUUUUAAGCAUUCACCUAAAGUCAGAUUAAAAUCUGUCACAAUAGAGGAGACUCUGAGGGUCUUCAUCAGAGAGGGAUAUUUAUCCUAACAUUCCCUUUAUUGAUCUAAGCUCCAAAACGAAUUACAGAACUGAGACUACCUCUCUAAUGAGUUAGAACAAGGUAUUAAUUCCACCUAUCACAAAGGGCUGUGGUGUCCUCAACUGUUCCUUGACCUAACAGGCUUACAAUUAAUGAUACC